rnacentral:rRNA from 1 species
CCUACGGCAGGCAGCAGUGAUGAAUAUUGCGCAAUGGGGGAAUCCCUGCCGCAGCGACGCCGCGUGGAGGAAGUCGGCUUUCGGGUUGUAAUCUCCUCUCAGGAGGUGAAGUAUCCCCGCAAGGGCUUGACGGUACCUCAGAGUAAGCCUCCGCUAACUACGUGCCAGCAGCCGCGGUAAU